rnacentral:lncRNA from 1 species
GUCAGAAGCUGGAUGACAGCUCUUUGCUAAUCUCCAUUGUCUUGGAGCUCCACUUUUAGCUACUCUCUCCCACAUAAAACUCCUUGUGUGGAACCUGCUGCUCCUACAAAUGGCCUGACACUCACUGUAACUUAUCUUCACAGUGCACCAUUCAGAAGAAUUUGAAGAGACUGCACAUCAAUCUCUUUCAUUUCUAGAGCAGUUUAGAGGAUUUUUUUUCUUUUAUAUAGGAGUCAUGACAAGAGCCAACUGAAGCUUUUCUGCAAAUACAUCUCCCACGAUAUGUUACUUCUCUUUCUCUUUCACGAUGCUGAAACAGAAAAAGGAAACUACUCUCUCCGUAGUAAAAGGAGCUUCAUUGGAUACCCUGCAAGGUAUAAAAGCUGAAAUGAGAAAUGAGAAAACAUACAAUUCUUUAAGUCUAGACAGAGCCAUCUUCCUGAAUUUAAAUCACAGCCAUCAACAAGCUACCUAAUCUAUGAGUGGAAUCUUUAAAGAUGGAACACAACAGAUGCAAGAUGUUUUAUGUGUCCUAAAUAAGUUUGUGUAGGUAACUUUCAUUUUAGGUCAAUUUGACAGGCCAAAUUGCCUGCUUACAGAGUUUAGGGAAUUAGGACCUGAGAACUGUGCAGGUGCCAUCAGGGGAAUGCAAAGAUGUGAAGAAAUGCCUGGGACUGGGGAAAACAUUGAGGAGAAAAUGACUGCAGCUGCACUGUUUUAUCAGCUCCAUCACACUUGCUGUCACUGCCUUGAACACACAGUGUUCCCUUCUGCCUCAGGGCCUUUGCACAUGCCACUCCUGCUGCUCAGAUGGCUCCUUGUCCCCAGCUUCUUUUGCCUCUCUCAGGGAAGCUUUCACCCACCUCCCAGAAUAGAUCUGGUCCUCCGUCAUCUACUUUUACAAUUCCACAUGUUUUUCCAUCAUAGCAAGUAAUAAAAUUUGUAAUUACAUGUCUGUGUUGUAAUUGAAUAAAAAUAAUGUCACCUAAAAAUUACUGAGCACUCUUUAUGUGUGCCAAGCACUACAACUCUCAUUCAGUCUUCAAAACAAAACCAUGGGGACACUGAGACACAAUCUGAUCAAUUUCCAG